AUCUAUAGUGUAUUAGAAGAGCUUUAUGUAAUACUGAAUCUUCUCUCAUAAGAGGGAAACCUUUGAAAACUGUAGAUUUCUAGUACUUGCAUGGGAGACCUCCUGGGAAUACCGGGUGCUGUAGGCU
rnacentral:rRNA from 1 species